rnacentral:rRNA from 1 species
AUUGAACGCUGGCGGCAGGCCUAACACAUGCAAGUCGAACGGUAACAGGAAGACGCUUGCUUCUUUGCUGACGAGUGGCGGACGUGUGAGUAAUGUCUGGGAAACUGCCUGAUGGAGGGGGAUAACUACUGGAAACGGGAGCUAAUACCGCAUAACGUCGCAAGACCAAAGAGGGGGACCUUCGGGCCUCUUGCCAUCGGCUUUGCCCAGAUGGUAUUGGCUAGUAGGUGUGGUGACGGCUCGCCUGGGCGAGGAUCCCUCGCUGGUUUGUGAGGAGGACGCGCCACACUGGAACUGCAGCACGGUCCAGCCUCCUACGGGAGGCAGCAGUGGGGAAUAUUGCACAAUGGGCGCAAGCCUGAUGCAGUCAUGCCGCGUGUAUGAAGAAGGCCUUCGGGUUGUAAAGUACUUUCAGCGGGGAGGAAGGGAGUAAAGUUAAUACCUUUGCUCAUUGACGUUACCCGCAGAAGAAGCACCGGCUAACUCCGUG